AUUGAACGCUGGCGGCAGGCUUAACACAUGCAAGUCGAGCGGGGUGAUGGUGCUUGCACUAUCACUUAGCGGCGGACGGGUGAGUAAUGCUUAGGAAUCUGCCUAUUAGUGGGGGACAACAUCUCGAAAGGGAUGCUAAUACCGCAUACGUCCUACGGGAGAAAGCAGGGGAUCACUUGUGACCUUGCGCUAAUAGAUGGGCCUAAGUCGGAUUAGCUAGUUGGUGGGGUAAAGGCCUAUCAAGGCGACGAUCUGUAGCGGGUCUGAGAGGAUGAUCCGCCACACUGGGACUGAGACACGGCCCAGACUCCUACGGGAGGCAGCAGUGGGGAAUAUUGGACAAUGGGGGGAACCCUGAUCCAGCCAUGCCGCGUGUGUGAAGAAGGCCUUAUGGUUGUAAAGCACUUUAAGCGAGGAGGAGGCUCUUUUGGUUAAUACCCAAGAUGAGUGGACGUUACUCGCAGAAUAAGCACCGGCUAACUCUGUGCCAGCAGCCGCAGUAA
rnacentral:rRNA from 1 species